rnacentral:lncRNA from 1 species
CGGCGUUGUGGCCGUUGGAGGAGAGGGGAUGCUCGGCCAUGAAGGAGAAUACCUGGAGUCUGAUACCAAGUUAGAGACUUGUAUUAUCUGAUAAUUGUGUUACAAUGUACAUCUGAGUAUAUAUACACUAGGGAGAAGAGUGUCGGCCACGUUGGGUGGCACGCAGGCCUGCUGGGCGGUUAGGAUCCUAACUAAUAGGAUCAGUAUUACUGACUCAAUACACAUGCGC